rnacentral:rRNA from 1 species
GUGCCAGCAGCCGCGGUAAUACAUAGGGGUCAAGCGUUGUCCGGAUUUAUUGGGCGUAAAGAGCUCGUAGGCGGUUCAACAAGUCGGUCGUAAAAGUUUAGGGCUCAACCCUAAAAUGUCGAUCGAUGCUGUUGUGACUAGGAUACGGUAGAGGUGAGUGGAAUUCCGAGUGUAGCGGUGAAAUUCAUAGAUAUUGGGAAGAACACCAGUGGCGAAAGCGGCUACCUGGUCCGAUUUUGACGCUGAGGCGCGAAAGCGUGGGGAGCAAACAGGAUUAGAUA